UACAGAGGUGGCAAGCGUUGUUCGGAAUUACUGGGCGUAAAGCGCACGUAGGCGGCUUUGCAAGUCGGAUGUGAAAUCCUUCGGCUCAACCAAGGAAGUGCAUCCGAAACUGCAGAGCUUGAGUACGAAAGAGGAUCGCGGAAUUCCCGGUGUAGAGGUGAAAUUCGUAGAUAUCGGGAGGAACACCAGUGGCGAAGGCGGCGAUCUGGGUCGAUACUGACGCUGAGGUGCGAAAGCGUGGGGAGCAAACAGGG
rnacentral:rRNA from 1 species